rnacentral:rRNA from 2 species
AACGCUAGCUACAGGCUUAACACAUGCAAGUCGAGGGGAAACGACAUCGAAAGCUUGCUUUUGAUGGGCGUCGACCGGCGCACGGGUGAGUAACGCGUAUCCAACCUGCCCACCACUUGGGGAUAACCUUGCGAAAGUAAGACUAAUACCCGAUGAUAUCCCUAGAAGACAUCUGAAAGGGAUUAAAGAUUUAUCGGUGAUGGAUGGGGAUGCGUCUGAUUAGCUUGUUGGCGGGGUAACGGCCCACCAAGGCGACGAUCAGUAGGGGUUCUGAGAGGAAGGUCCCCCACAUUGGAACUGAGACACGGUCCAAACUCCUACGGGAGGCAGCAGUGAGGAAUAUUGGUCAAUGGGCGAGAGCCUGAACCAGCCAAGUAGCGUGCAGGAUGACGGCCCUAUGGGUUGUAAACUGCUUUUAUAAGGGAAUAAAGUGAGUCUCGUGAGACUUUUUGCAUGUACCUUAUGAAUAAGGACCGGCUAAUUCCGUGCCAGCAGCCGCGGUAAUACGGAAGGUCCGGGCGUUAUCCGGAUUUAUUGGGUUUAAAGGGAGCGUAGGCCGGAGAUUAAGCGUGUUGUGAAAUGUAGACGCUCAACGUCUUCACUGCAGCGCGAACUGGUUUCCUUGAGUACGCACAAAGUGGGCGGAAUUCGUGGUGUAGCGGUGAAAUGCUUAGAUAUCACGAAGAACUCCGAUUG